AAAUUGAAGAGUUUGAUCAUGGCUCAGAUUGAACGCUGGCGGCAGGCCUAACACAUGCAAGUCGAACGGUAACAGGAAGAAGCUUGCUCUUUGCUGACGAGUGGCGGACGGGUGAGUAAUGUCUGGGAAACUGCCUGAUGGAGGGGGAUAACUACUGGAAACGGUAGCUAAUACCGCAUAACGUCGCAAGACCAAAGAGGGGGACCUUCGGGCCUCUUGCCAUCGGAUGUGCCCAGAUGGGAUUAGCUAGUAGGUGGGGUAACGGCUCACCUAGGCGACGAUCCCUAGCUGGUCUGAGAGGAUGACCAGCCACACUGGAACUGAGACACGGUCCAGACUCCUACGGGAGGCAGCAGUGGGGAAUAUUGCACAAUGGGCGCAAGCCUGAUGCAGCCGUAUGCAGCAUGCCGCGUGUAUGAAGAAGGCCUUCGGGUUGUAAAGUACUUUCAGCGGGGAGGAAGGUGUUGUGGUUAAUAACCGCAGCAAUUGACGUUACCCGCAGAAGAAGCACCGGCUAACUCCGUGCCAGCAGCCGCGGUAAUACGGAGGGUGCAAGCGUUAAUCGGAAUUAGUGGGCGUAAAGCGCACGCAGGCGGUCUGUCAAGUCGGAUGUGAAAUCCCCGGGCUCAACCUGGGAACUGCAUCUGAUACUGGCAAGCUUGAGUCUCGUAGAGGGGGGUAGAAUUCCAGGUGUAGCGGUGAAAUGCGUAGAGAUCUGGAGGAAUACCGGUGGCGAAGGCGGCCCCCUGGACGAAGACUGACGCUCAGGUGCGAAAGCGUGGGGAGCAAACAGGAUUAGAUACCCUGGUAGUCCACGCCGUAAACGAUGUCUACUUGGAGGUUGUGCCCUUGAGGCGUCCGUUCCGGAGCUAACGCGUUAAGUCGACCGCCUGGGGAGUACGGCCGCAACGUUAAAACUCAAAUGAAUUGACGGGGGCCCGCACAAGCGGUGGAGCAUGUGGUUUAAUUCGAUGCAACGCGAAGAACCUUACCUGGUCUUGACAUCCACGGAAGUUUUCAGAGAUGAGAAUGUGCCUUCGGGAACCGUGAGACAGGUGCUGCAUGGCUGUCGUCAGCUCGUGUUGUGAAAUGUUGGGUUAAGUCCCGCAACGAGCGCAACCCUUAUCCUUUGUUGCCAGCGGUCCGGCCGGGAACUCAAAGGAGACUGCCAGUGAUAAACUGGAGGAAGGUGGGGAUGACGUCAAGUCAUCAUGGCCCUUACGACCAGGGCUACACACGUGCUACAAUGGCCCAUACAAAGAGAACCGACCUCGCGAGAGCAAGCGGUCCUCAUAAAGUGCGUCGUAGUCCGGAUUGGAGUCUGCAACUCGACUCCAUGAAGUCGGAAUCGCUAGUAAUCGUGGAUCAGAAUGCCACGGUGAAUACGUUCCCGGGCCUUGUACACACCGCCCGUCACACCAUGGGAGUGGGUUGCAAAAGAAGUAGGUAGCUUAACCUUCGGGAGGGCGCUUACCACUUUGUGAUUCAUGACUGGGGUGAAGUCGUAACAAGGUAACCGUAGGGGAACCUGCGGUUGGAUCACCUCCUUA
rnacentral:rRNA from 1 species